rnacentral:rRNA from 1 species
UACGGGGGGGUAAGCGUUGUUCGGAAUUACUGGGCGUAAAGGGCUCGUAGGCGGCCAACUAAGUCAGCCGUGAAAUCCCUCAGCUUAACUGGGGAACUGCGUCUGAUACUGGAUGGCUUGGAUUCGGGAGAGGAAUGCGGAAUUCCAGGUGUAGCGGUGAAAUUCGUAGAUAUUCGGAAGAACACCAGUGGCGAAGGCGGCUCACUGGUCCGGUACUGACGCUGAGGUGCGAAAGCGUGGGGAGCAAACAGG